CCUGUGUAUCCUAAAGAGAUAUCUAUUCGUCCUCUACACUAAAGGACGGACCCCAGAGCCAGAUAAGCUUGAACCAGAGCAGAAAGAAUAUUAUGCAGAAACUUGCUGGAAAUGUCAACCCUGCUACAUAAAGAUAUCUGGAAAAUACAGACCAACUCUAACAAAACAGAGAAAGAUGCAGUGGGCGGCAAACUUAAAGGGAGUGACCGGCUAGAUAUUGUAGUUGAGCAGAGAAUGCAGAUUUCACGCUCACAGUCUCUUUAAUCAUUAAUUAUAAGGAACAGCAGUGCUUGGUAUCACACGGACUUAUUGCAAAAUGCAUAAAUGGGUUGGAUGGGUCGGAUUCUGCACAAUAAGAAUAAAU